AAGGCAGGCUCCAAAUCUAUCUACUUGACCCAUAGCCAUUACCAAAGAAUCAAGCUUUACUGGGACUUCACUCGCGCUGAGUUCACUCACAACUCAGCUGAGCCAGAGUCAUGUUUCUACAUCGCCAUUGCCUGUAAUGCAAAUCUAGAAUUCUUUCUUGGCGAUCUUUAUACCGAAUUGACUCGGCGAUCUGGGUUAGUCAUGACUCCGCAACUAGCUGAUUAUCAACCGAUUCUGCUG
rnacentral:misc_RNA from 1 species